GUACAGCUGCAUCAGCUGUUCGUAGGACAUGUCCAGCAGCUGGUCCAGGUCCACGCCGCGGAAUACAAAAGCCAUCAGGAAAAGGCCAAAUGAGUGUGCUCUCCUGUCACUGAAGGCUUCUGAAAGGAUAUGGGCCAGUGCAUCAGAUUUUGUUGCUGAGCAGGUUGGAGAAGAGCAUCAAAGGUGAGAGCAAAGGUCUCUUGGCAAACUCCUGUUCUGGACACCCAUUGCAUUGGAUGCCUGCCUCUAUCAUAGCUCUUAUUGCCCUUUAUUAGAGGAUAAUAUGGUCCAUGUCCUCCACUAGACUGAGCUUCUCAAAGGCUGAGACCUACCUUAUUUGUCUUUUUUGAGACGGAGUCUCGCUCUGUUGCCCAGGCUGGACUGCAGUGGCACGAUCUCAGCUCACUGCAACCUCCGCCUCCCGGGUUCAUGCCAUUCUCCUGCCUUAACCUCCUGAGUAGCUGGGACUACAGGCACCCGCCACCACGCCUGGCUAAUUUUUUGUAUUUUUAGUAGAGACGGGGUUUCACCCUGUUAACCAGGAU
rnacentral:lncRNA from 1 species